UACGUAGGGGGCAAGCGUUGUCCGGAAUCAUUGGGCGUAAAGGGCGUGUAGGCGGCCCGAUAAGUCCGCCGUGAAAGUCCAGGGCUCAACCCUGGAAUGCCGGUGGAAACUGUCGGGCUGGAGUCCGGAAGAGGCGAGUGGAAUUCCUGGUGUAGCGGUGAAAUGCGCAGAUAUCAGGAGGAACACCAAUGGCGAAGGCAGCUCGCUGGGACGGUACUGACGCUGAGACGCGAAAGCGUGGGGAGCGAACAGG
rnacentral:rRNA from 1 species